rnacentral:rRNA from 1 species
AUUGAACGCUGGCGGCAUGCUUUACACAUGCAAGUCGAACGGUAACAGGCCGCAAGGUGCUGACGAGUGGCGAACGGGUGAGUAAUGCAUCGGAACGUGCCCAGUCGUGGGGGAUAACUACUCGAAAGAGUAGCUAAUACCGCAUCCGAUCUAUGGAUGAAAGCGGGGGACCGUAAGGCCUCGCGCGAUUGGAGCGGCCGAUGUCAGAUUAGGUAGUUGGUGGGGUAAAGGCUCACCAAGCCAACGAGCUGUAGCUGGUCUGAGAGGACGACCAGCCACACUGGGACUUAGACACGGCCCAGACUCCUACGGGAGGCAGCAGUGGGGAAUUUUGGACAAUGGGCGCAAGCCUGAUCCAGCAAUGCCGCGUGCAGGAAGAAGGCCUUCGGGUUGUAAACUGCUUUUGUACGGAACGAAACGGCUCUGGUUAAUACCCGGGGCUAAUGACGGUAUCGUAAGAAUAAGCACCGGCUAACUACGUG